GCCCCAUUUUACAGAAGAGGAAACGGAGGCGCAGAGAGAAGAAAUAACUUGCUGAGGGUCCGAACCAGGCUCAGAACCCAGGUUUCCUGGCUCCUCAGCUGAUCCCUUCUCUCCUCCCCAUGCCCCGGAACCUCAGGCUUUGCCUAAUGAACUGAAGUUCUGGGGCUAGAGCUGUCCUUUUGUGACUGCUCUCCCUGACCUUUGGGGAGGUGACAUAGCGCACAGAAGGGCUCAGUUGCCCCCAGAGUGCCAACGCUGGAAUUUAUAGGAGUUCUCAAUCUAUUUUGGGAGUGGAGUGCACAUUAGGAGUUUUGUGUUGAACCUAUGUUUGCAAUAUUUAUUUUAAAAAAUCGUAUGUGUAUUGGGGGUGCCUGGAAGUGGAGGGGGCGCUCUGGAAGGGCCUAAAUCCCCGAACAGUCCACCCCUCAGUGCCUGGGUGCCACCUGGGAGCUUUGAGCCCAGCCCAGCAAGGUAUGGGUUGCAAGAACUGGCUGGGGAUAUAGUAGAUUGAGCAUCUCUUGGGGGAAAGGCAGAGGCUAAGAAUCAAUACUUCCACCACCUGCAGAUCAAAGAGAGCAUCACUCCCCCCAACCCACUACCCACCCCUUCCAGCCCACCUUAGGGCAAAUUCUUCCAACUCCCCAUCUACAGCACAUAGCCCUGCCACACGCAUCUCUUUGCUCAGCCCACCGUUGAGAUCGUUCACUCACUAUGCUUUCAGUGGUCGAAUGAAUUCCAUCAAAUGGAUAUGCUGUUAUUUACUUAUUCAUUCCCCUACUGGUAAUUUCCAUUUCCCAACUGCAAUGUAUGAGGAUUCUGAUUUCUCCACAUCCUCACCAAUGCUUGUUAUUGUUGAUUUUUUUUUUUUUAAGUAUAGUAACCCAGCGUGGAGUGGUGUCUUGUGAUUUUAUUUGCACUUCCCUGACGUUCGGCAUCUUUUCAUGUGCUUUUUGCCUAUUUGUGUACCUUCUCUGGAGAAAUGUCUAUUCAAAUCCUUUAUCCAUUUUUAAAUUGUCUUUAUUAUUGAGUUGUAAGAGUUCUUUAUAUGCUCUGGUUACAAGCCCCUUAUCAGAUACUUGAUUUGCAAAAGUUUUUUUCCCAUUAUGUGGCUUGUCUUUUCACUUUCUUAGUGGUAUCAUUUGUAGCACCAAAGUUUUACAUUUUUAUGUAAUCCAAUAUAAUCUAUUUUUUAGUUAUGUACGGGUUUUUUGUGUCAACAUGUUUCUUUUUUUCAAAUUUGUUUGUGGUAAAAUACAUAUAAUGUAAAAUUGAUCAUUAAGCAUUUUAAGUGUAUUGUUCAGUGGUAUUAACUACAUUCCUAAUGCUAUGCAGCCAUCACCACCAUCCAUCUCCACAGCUC
rnacentral:lncRNA from 1 species